rnacentral:rRNA from 1 species
CGGAGGGUGCGAGCGUUGUCCGGAAUCACUGGGCGUAAAGGGCGCGUAGGCGGCUUGGGAGGUCCAUGGUGAAAGCUCGCGGCUCAACUGCGAGUCGGCCAAGGAUACUCCUGAGCUCGAGUCGACUAGAGGCUAAUGGAAUUCCGGGUGUAGCGGUGGAAUGCGUAGAGAUCCGGAAGAACACCGGUGGCGAAGGCGGUUAGCUGGGGUCGGACUGACGCUGAGGCGCGACAGCGUGGGGAGCAAACAGGAUUAGAUACCCUGGUAGUCCACGCCGUAAACGAUGGGCACUAGGUGCUUGGGGGAGCGACCCCCUGAGUGCCGGCGCUAACGCAUUAAGUGCCCCGCCUGGGGAGUACGGCCGCAAGGCUG